rnacentral:misc_RNA from 1 species
GAUGAAUCUGGCAGUAUUGUUGUACUUCCUGUCUCUGCUGAAAGCGCAGGAUUGUUGCCAAACCGUAAAGAUGGAGCAAAAGGGUCUGACAUUGUCUUAGAAGCAAUACUGGAGGCAGAUGUGGCAAAGAAUGCCAAAGAAUUUUUCUCACAGCCACAAAACCAAUUAAAAAGUGAAUGAAGAGGUUUACUUUCCAACUUUAAGACCAAUUCUGUAAUCUUUUAUUUAUUAAAAGACAACACAUUAGAGGUUUACUAAGUUUAUGGUUCUUUU